rnacentral:piRNA from 1 species
AUCAAGAACAUGGCUGGUGUGAUGCAA